rnacentral:piRNA from 1 species
UNUCUGCCUGAAUAUCUUCUUCCCCCCUUCCU